rnacentral:rRNA from 1 species
GUGGGGAAUAUUGGACAAUGGGCGAAAGCCUGAUCCCGCCAUGCCGCGUGUGUGAAGAAGGUCUUCGGAUUGUAAAGCACUUUAAGUUGGGAGGAAGGGCAGUAAGUUAAUACCUUGCUGUUUUGACGUUACCGACAGAAUAAGCACCGGCUAACUUCGUGCCAGCAGCCGCGGUAAUACGAAGGGUGCAAGCGUUAAUCGGCAUUACUGGGCGUAAUGCGCGCGUAGGUGGUUUUGUAAGUUGGAGGUGAAAUCCCUGGGCUCAACCUGGGAACUGACUCCAAAACUGCAUGACUAGAGUACGGUAGAGGGUAGUGGAAUUUCCUGUGUAGCGGUGAAAUGCGUAGAUAUAGGAAGGAACACCAGUGGCGAAGGCGACUACCUGGACUGAUACUGACACUGAGGUGCGAAAGCGUGGGGAGCAAACAGGAUUAGAAACCCCUGUAGUCC